GAUGAAGAACGCAGCGAAAUGCGAUACGUAAUGUGAAUUGCAGAAUUCAGUGAAUCAUCGAAUCUUUGAACGCACAUUGCGCCCGCCAGUAUUCUGGCGGGCAUGCCUGUCCGAGCGUCAUUUCAACCCUCGAACCCCUCCGGGGGGUCGGCGUUGGGGAUCGGCCCUUUACGGGGCCGGCCCCGAAAUACAGUGGCGGUCUCGCCGCAGCCUCUCCUGCGCAGUAGUUUGCACACUCGCAUCGGGAGCGCGGCGCGUCCAAUGCCGUAAAACACCCAACUUUCUGAAAUGUUGACCUCGGAUCAGGUAGGAAUACCCGCUGAACUUAAGCAUAUCAAUAAGCGGAGGA
rnacentral:misc_RNA from 1 species